rnacentral:rRNA from 1 species
GACGAACGCUGGCGGCGUGCUUAACACAUGCAAGUCGAACGGAAAGGCUCCAGCUUGCUGGAGUGCUCGAGUGGCGAACGGGUGAGUAACACGUGGGCAAUCUGCCCUGCACUCUGGGAUAAGCCUGGGAAACUGGGUCUAAUACUGGAUAUGACACUUCUCCUCAUGGGGUUUGGUUGAAAGUUUUUCGGUGUUGGAUGAGCCCGCGGCCUAUCAGCUUGUUGGUGGGGUGAUGGCCUACCAAGGCGACGACGGGUAGCCGGCCUGAGAGGGUGAUCGGCCACAAUGGGACUGAGAUACGGCCCAGACUCCUACGGGAGGCAGCAGUGGGGAAUAUUGCACAAUGGGCGGAAGCCUGAUGCAGCGACGCCGCGUGAGGGAUGACGGCCUUCGGGUUGUAAACCUCUUUCAGCAGGGACGAAGCGUAAGUGACGGUACCUGCAGAAGAAGCACCGGCUAACUAUGUG